GUCUACGGCCAUGUUACCCUGAACAAGCCCGAUCCCGUCUGAUCUCGGAAGCUAACCAGGGUCGGGCCUGCUUAGUACUUGGAUGAAAGACCACUUAGGAAGACCAGGUGCUGUAGGUG
rnacentral:rRNA from 1 species